CAGCAUAAAUCCAUAGUCACCCUAAUUGGAUUGAAAUCACAGUUGAAUGAAGAAUUCCCGACGGGAAUAGGGAGACGCUCAGACGCAAGCGCAACUGCCAACUCGGAAGAGCGAUUGACCGAUUUAGGGAAGAGCCGAAGAAACGAGAUUACGAAAGGGAAUUCAACAGGGAUUGAGAAUUUUGUGUAAGAAAAGAGGGAAAUCAAUCUGAAUCAAAGGAUGGGAUCUGGUGAGGCUUUGAAAGUUGUGAAGGUUUAUAGAGAGCUAAUGAAAGCAGUGAAGAAACACAUUGGGAAUGAAGAACAUAAAGCCCAUUUCAGAGAUUUCAUAAAGUCAGAGUUCAAGAAAAAUGGCGAUGGGUUGGAGACAUCGUUCAUCCAGCAAAAAAUUAAAAUUGCCCAUGAUUAUACUUAUCUUUUUAAAAGUGUCCAUCAUCACCAGGASUUGCUAUUUUCUUACAACAUUGCAGUAGAUAGAUCAGAUGAAAUGAAGAAAAUACUUGGAAAAUCUGCUGCAAGUGUUGGUCUCCAGCUUCCUGAUGUUUAUCAGUCUUGAAAAUUGGGAAAGAAGAUGGAUAUGGUUUUGGAAGCAUGAACAAAGAUUAUAAAAACCUUUGACAUUAUAUUAUAUGCAGUGGAGCUAAUUCAUCACAUUAUGUCUUGUUUUCUAUCUGUCACCUACAAACUUGCUAUCAUGAAUAAAGCAUCAGCAAGGUUACAGACAAAA